rnacentral:rRNA from 1 species
GGGUAAUGCCUGCCCAGUGACAUUGUUAAACGGCCGCGGUAUUCUAACCGUGCAAAGGUAGCGUAAUCACUUGUCUUUUAAAUAAAGACUAGAAUGAAUGGCCAAACGAGGUUCUACCUGUCUCUUAUGGAUAAUCAGUGAAAUUGAUCCCCCCGUGCAAAAGCGGGGAUAACCCUAUAAGACGAGAAGACCCUGUGGAACUUUAAAUACAGAUCAACUAUCAUCAACAUCCAACUAAGGACUUAUAUUUAAUUAGCAUUUGAUCCAUAUUUUUGGUUGGGGUGACCUCGGAGUAAAACAAAACCUCCGAAAAAAAGAACAUACUUCUAAACCUAGACUUACAAUUCAAAGUACUUAACAGUAUAAAUGAUCCAACAUAUUUGAUCAACGGACCAAGCUACCCCAGGGAUAACAGCGCAAUCCCAUCCUAGAGUCCCUAUCGACGAUGGGGUUUACGACCUCGAUGUUGGAUCAGGACAUCCUGAUGGUGUAACCGCUAUCAAGGGUUCGUUUGUUCAACGAUUAACAGUCCU